rnacentral:rRNA from 1 species
UACGUAGGGCGCAAGCGUUAUCCGGAAUUAUUGGGCGUAAAGAGCUCGUAGGCGGUUUGUCGCGUCUGCCGUGAAAGUCCGGGGCUCAACUCCGGAUCUGCGGUGGGUACGGGCAGACUAGAGUGAUGUAGGGGAGACUGGAAUUCCUAGUGUAGCGGUGAAAUGCGCAGAUAUCAGGAGGAACACCGAUGGCGAAGGCAGGUCUCUGGGCAUUAACUGACGCUGAGGAGCGAAAGCAUGGGGAGCGAACAGG